rnacentral:rRNA from 1 species
UACGUAGGGUGCAAGCGUUGUCCGGAAUUAUUGGGCGUAAAGAGCUUGUAGGCGGUUUGUCGCGUCUGCUGUGAAAUUUCGGGGCUCAACCCCGAACUUGCAGUGGGUACGGGCAGACUAGAGUGUGGUAGGGGAGACUGGAAUUCCUGGUGUAGCGGUGAAAUGCGCAGAUAUCAGGAAGAACACCUAUGGCGAAAGCAGCUCUCUGGGACGGUACUGACGCUGAGACGCGAAAGCGUGGGGAGCGAACAGG